AGUCAGAGCCAUCUCUCCCUGCAGUUCUCACCUGCUUUCCCACUGAAGCUAAGCAGGGUUGAGCCUGGCCAGUACCUGGAUGGGGGACCUCCUGGUAUGGAAGUGGUGUUAGUG
rnacentral:rRNA from 1 species